CCUACGGGGGGCAGCAGUGGGGAAUAUUGGGCAAUGGGCGCAAGCCUGACCCAGCAACGCCGCGUGAAGGAAGAAGGCUUUCGGGUUGUAAACUUCUUUUGUCAGGGACGAAGCAAGUGACGGUACCUGACGAAUAAGCCACGGCUAACUACGUGCCAGCAGCCGCGGUAAUACGUAGGUGGCAAGCGUUAUCCGGAUUUAUUGGGUGUAAAGGGCGUGUAGGCGGGAAUGCAAGUCAGAUGUGAAAACUAUGGGCUCAACCCAUAGCCUGCAUUUGAAACUGUAUUUCUUGAGUGCUGGAGAGG
rnacentral:rRNA from 1 species